GUGGAAGUUAAGACUAUACUUUCAGGGAUCAUUUCUAUAGUAUCUAACUGGAGAAAUGCACUCGAAAGUGAUUGGCCGAACGAACCAC
rnacentral:pre_miRNA from 1 species